GCAGUGAAAAACAGUUUUAGCAGUCCCUAUACUACGUGAAAUAGUUUGCGAGCCCAAUCAUGUUUUUAAGGAAUUUGAGAUGUAGAGGAAAUUUGGAGAAAAGUAAAAAUCGAACCAGCUUAGUAUAAUUAAACUUUAGCUAAAGAAAAGUGCUAAAAAUAACUUCAGUAAAUUGGAGAGCAAAAUAAGUGAGGAAGUGUACCCAAGUAAAUGUCUAAUAUUUAGCACUUUAACACAUAAGUCCCAGCCCUUCCUUUUUUUUUUUUUUCCCCUAGUUCACAAAACACUCCCACUUUCCCGCCCCUUCACCUUUCACAACAUUCACCCACCAUCUCGCCAAUGUUGUCAUCCUAACCCACCAGCCACCACCAGGUACACAUUCUUACUAUGUCAUGGCCGGACAACAACAACAAGAAGUAGCUCCCGUUUACGCCAGGUUCGUCAACCCUCAGUGCCGAAGGCGUUACAUGGAGCAGCAAAGCAAGGGGUUGUUGCAUGAGAAGGGUUUUAUUAUGGAUAGGGUAGACGAGCUUGCCCCAGAAUUCUACAACCAUUUACAGGAGAUCGGGUGGAACAGGUUGGUCGAAGACUCUGGCAAUUGCAACACCAACUGGGUCAGGGAGUUUUAUGCCAUGCUUCCUACUGUUGUUUGGUCCUCUCCAGACCCGGAGAUCACGAUUCGGGGCUUCUAGGUGAAGGUUGGGGCGAAGGUGAUCAAUGAAAUAUAUGGGUUGUCCAAUCCUCCCGAGGAUGAGAUGCUUGCUAGGGACCACGACGGUAAUGGCCCUUGGCUGGUAUCUAUGUUGGUUCCUGAGAACAAGAGGCGUAAGGUCACUUAGGCUAUUAAUCGGACUGGGAUCAAGAGUACCUACUUUUCGGCCGACGCUCGCAGGUGGCUGAACUUUGAUUCCCUGAGGGUUCGCCCUUCGAGUAACACUACUGAUCUCACCUACCCCCGAGCCCUUGUGAUUGCUUGCGUGCUGGAUGGUGAUCCUGUAAAUGUGGGUAAGCAGGUGAUCGAUGAGUGGAGGAGUUUCAUGGUUAUAGGCGGCUGGAGUUUGAUGUUCCCCUCCCUUAUUACUUCCUUGUGCCGGCAAGCACAGGUGCCUACAGAGCCUGCGGACCGGAUGUUUGAGUGCGAUGUUGAAUUUGACCCGUUGAGGAUGAAGGGUUCGCGGAGUAGCAGCAAGAAGAAGAAGGUCGACUCGGAUGAUAAGGAUACUGAGGCCCACGAGGGAGAAGGAGAUGACGUUGGCCCUUCGCAGCCCCCGAGCCCUUUGGA